rnacentral:rRNA from 2 species
GCUUCCGGAGCUAACGCGUUAAGUCGACCGCCUGGGGAGUACGGCCGCAAGGUUAAAACUCAAAUGAAUUGACGGGGGCCCGCACAAGCGGUGGAGCAUGUGGUUUAAUUCGAUGCAACGCGAAGAACCUUACCUACUCUUGACAUCCAGAGAACUUAGCAGAGAUGCUUUGGUGCCUUCGGGAACUCUGAGACAGGUGCUGCAUGGCUGUCGUCAGCUCGUGUUGUGAAAUGUUGGGUUAAGUCCCGCAACGAGCGCAACCCUUAUCCUUUGUUGCCAGCGAUUCGGUCGGGAACUCAAAGGAGACUGCCGGUGAUAAACCGGAGGAAGGUGGGGAUGACGUCAAGUCAUCAUGGCCCUUACGAGUAGGGCUACACACGUGCUACAAUGGCGCAUACAAAGAGAAGCGACCUCGCGAGAGCAAGCGGACCUCAUAAAGUGCGUCGUAGUCCGGAUCGGAGUCUGCAACUCGACUCCGUGAAGUCGGAAUCGCUAGUAAUCGUGGAUCAGAAUGCCACGGUGAAUACGUUCCCGGGCCUUGUACACACCGCCCGUCACACCAUGGGAGUG